GAUAAACGCUGGCGGCAUGCCUAAGACAUGCAAGUCGAGCGCCCAGCAAUGGGAGCGGCAGACGGGUGAGUAACGCGUGGGGAUCUACCCAUUGGUACGGAAUAACCCAGGGAAACUUGGAUUAAUACCGUAUGAGCCCUUCGGGGGAAAGAUUUAUCGCCAAUGGAUGAACCCGCGUCUGAUUAGCUAGUUGGUGAGGUAAAGGCUCACCAAGGCGACGAUCAGUAGCUGGUCUGAGAGGAUGAUCAGCCACACUGGGACUGAGACACGGCCCAGACUCCUACGGGAGGCAGCAGUGGGGAAUAUUGGACAAUGGGCGCAAGCCUGAUCCAGCCAUGCCGCGUGAGUGAUGAAGGCCUUAGGGUUGUAAGGCUCUUUCGCCGGUGAAGAUAAUGACGGUAACCGGAGAAGAAGCCCCGGCUAACUUCGUGCCAGCCGCCGCGGUAA
rnacentral:rRNA from 1 species